rfam:Pteropus vampyrus cont1.205679, whole genome shotgun sequence.
UCUAGAGCAAUUUUAUAUCAAAUUUAUAAGAUAUAAAUGUUCUCUUUAUUAAUAUUUAGUGAGAAAUGAACACUCCAGAUAAAACAUUUUUCAUGUAGAAGGAUGGUAAUAUAAAC